UUAAUCUUUCUUAAACUUUCUUUUCUCUUAUAAGAUUACAACUUAGCUUUGAUCUCUAUAUAUAGUUGAUAGGAUCCUUAUCUUAACCUAUUACAACUUGAACUAGGAGACUUAUCUUUAAUCCUAAUCCUAUUAGUAUUUGUAUCCAACUUCACUUUAGGAUAACUUGUUGUCUAAGCAAUGAAGCUUAUCCAACAAGGUUAAGGCAAACUGGAGAAGUUAGGGACUGCAUCUGGGUUUUUUGGCAUCUUAUGAUUUGGAUGAUAUCGGCAACUUGGAGAUAAGACGCAUCACAAUUUUGUGAAUCAGGGGUGACUAGGAGAACUAUAAAUUUACAUUCAAGAAGAUAAAAAGAAGGUUUCCAAGAUUUGGGAAGAGAAUCUCCCUUGAAUAAUGGUCUUUGGUUGAAAUCACAUGGUUUCAUGAAGAUUACAAGACGGCUCUGAAGGAGAGGAAGUAAAUCAAUGGGGAUUUGAGAUCUAUAUAUGCGGGUCCAGAAAGAUUCGUUGAUCUUUGGGUGUGAAGGAGAUAUUCACACAAUCAUUCACAAAUCUCUCAUCAUGUCAUUGAGGGUUUUAUGGAUAUAAAGGUCUUUCUGUUACUAUGGUUUCUAAAUUGGUUCAUCAUGAGUGCACUCUCUCAAUCCCUAUGGUUGUCACUUAGAAGGUGUUGCUGGUACUCCGGCUUGGUAGUCAAAAAGGUUGGAGGUUUAUACUUUCAAGAAACUAGAGAUUUAAGAACAUUUAAAACGGUUUUAUGAUGGAAAGAAAAUGGUUUAUGGUCCAUACAAUAUCUCUUAUUUCCUCUACAGGGGCGGACCCAGAAAAUAAUUUACAAUGGGGCACCUUAUAUAUAUAUGUACAUUAAAUUUGAUUUUAAAUUUUAUUUUUCAAUUUUUAAUUA